GAAGGUAUAGCUCAGCAGUAGAGUGCAUGCUUAGCAUGCACAAGGUCCUGGGUUCAAUUCCCAGCCCUUCCA
rnacentral:tRNA from 1 species